AUUGAACGCUGGCGGCAUGCCUUACACAUGCAAGUCGAACGGCAGCACGGGUGCUUGCACCUGGUGGCGAGUGGCGAACGGGUGAGUAAUACAUCGGAACAUGUCCUGUAGUGGGGGAUAGCCCGGCGAAAGCCGGAUCAAUACCGCAUACGAUCUACGGACGAAAGCGGGGGACCUUCGGGCCUCGGGCUAUUGGGGUUGCCGAUGGCUGGUUAGCUAGUUGGUGGGGUAAAGGCCUACCAAGGCGACGAUCAGUAGCUGGUCUGAGAGGAGGACCCGCCACACUGGGACUGAGACACGGCCCAGACUCCUACGGGAGGCAGCAGUGGGGAAUUUUGGACAAUGGGCGAAAGCCUGAUACAGCAAUGCCGCGUGUGUGAAGAAGGCCUUCGGGUUGUAAAGCACUUUUGUCCGGAAAGAAAUCCUUGGCCCUAAUACGGUCGGGGGAUGACGGUACCGGAAGAAUAAGCACCGGCUAACUACGUG
rnacentral:rRNA from 1 species